UACGUAGGGCGCAAGCGUUAUCCGGAAUUAUUGGGCGUAAAGAGCUCGUAGGCGGUUUGUCGCGUCUGCCGUGAAAAGUCCGGGGCUCAACUCCGGAUCUGCGGUGGGUACGGGCAGACUAGAGUGAUGUAGGGGAGACUGGAAUUCCUGGUGUAGCGGUGGAAUGCGCAGAUAUCAGGAGGAGCACCGAUGGCGAAGGCAGGUCACUGGGCCGCAACUGACGCUGAGGAGCGAAAGCAUGGGGAGCGAACAGG
rnacentral:rRNA from 1 species